ACCUCUGCUGGUCAGAAAUUCUGUCCAUGAAAGUAAUGAACAGAAUCGGUGACAAAGGGCAGCUUUGGCGGAGUCCAACUUUCACCGGAAACGACCUGACUUACUGCUGGCAAUGUGGACCAGACUCUGACACCGGUCAUACAGGGACCUGACAGCCCGUAUCAAAGGGCCCGGUACCCCAUACUCCCGGA